rnacentral:rRNA from 1 species
GCGUGAGUGAUGAAGGCCCUAGGGUUGUAAAGCUCUUUCACCCACGACGAUAAUGACGGUAGUGGGAGAAGAAGCCCCGGCUAACUUCGUGCCAGCAGCCGCGGUAAUACGAAGGGGGCUAGCGUUGCUCGGAAUCACUGGGCGUAAAGGGCGCGUAGGCGGACAUUUAAGUCAGGGGUGAAAGCCCAGAGCUCAACUCUGGAAUUGCCUUUGAUACUGGGUGUCUCGAGUCUGGUAGAGGUUGGUGGAACUGCGAGUGUAGAGGUGAAAUUCGU